UACGUAGGGUGCGAGCGUUGUCCGGAAUUAUUGGGCGUAAAGAGCUUGUAGGUGGUUUGUCGCGUCUGCUGUGAAAAUCCGGGGCUCAACCCCGGACUUGCAGUGGGUACGGGCAGACUAGAGUGUGGUAGGGGAGACUGGAAUUCCUGGUGUAGCGGUGGAAUGCGCAGAUAUCAGGAGGAACACCGAUAGCGAAGGCAGGUCUCUGGGCCAUUACUGACGCUGAGAAGCGAAAGCAUGGGGAGCGAACAGG
rnacentral:rRNA from 1 species